UGUCUUUGGCUGCAGAGGAAACGGUGAUGACUUUUUAGGAGGAAGAAGUGUUUGCAGCAAGGCCCAAAAGUCUGCGUGAACUUCCUCUAAACGCGAGUGAGGUGGCGCAAACAGAUGCAGCGGAGGCAACCCACCACUUACCCAAAGGCGGACAAGCUUGUUUGGGGACCUAAAUGUCAACAGUGAUUGAUGCAAAACCUUAGAACCCAGAAGAGAGCAAUCGUUGAAAAAAAGCAACAAGAAGAGUUGCAGUUUGCCACAGGCCACGAGACUCGCUCCAUCUUCCUCUUCCACCGAGGACACAUUGCAAAAAGUGGUCAUCUCAGUUUUGUGGCUCUCUCCAAUUAUGUUCUUGUUCACAAGAUAUCCUUCGGGAUGCAUGAGUGCACACACACUCGAGACUUGAGGGCAAGGCAACAUGUCGAGAGGAGAGGAAGACAUGGAUUGUUCUUCUUCUCCACCAAUCCACGGAUGUCCUUUAAAAAUCUUAUUAAAGCUACAUGUUGUUCUCAUACUCCUAUGGGUCCCUGAAUGCAUGCUUAGGUUCCUUUAGGGGUCUUCACCGGCCCUCCCAGUGUUUUGUUACUAAGGAGGCUCAGGCAUGAUAGAGAGAGGAAGAAGGACAUGCAGCAUUCUUCUAGUAAAAGGAGUGCUACGUUUUUUACAUUUUGACAUACUAUAGUAUACUUGCAGUCAGACUAUGUUGGCAGAUUAGUGUACUUAAUGUUAUCUAUUUUGAAAGAACCAUUUUUGUAAAGUAUAUUUUAAUUUAACUUAAAUUGUGGUAUAUUUAUUUAUUUAUUGUAAAUUUUUGUGUGCAAAAGUGGAUCAACUGCAAACAUA